GAGGGCAUAGCUCAGGGGUAGGGCACAUGUUUAGCAUACAUGAGCUUCUGAGUUCAAUCCCCAGUAGCUCCA
rnacentral:tRNA from 1 species